UGGGCGACGACCGGCGCACGGGUGAGUAACGCGUAUCCAACCUGCCCAUAACUAAGGGAUAAUCCGUAGAAAUGCGGUCUAAUACCUUAUGUGUUCCGACGAAGACAUCUGAAUUGGAAUAAAGAUUUAUCGGUUAUGGAUGGGGAUGCGUCUGACUUAGAUUGUUGGCGGGGCAACGGCCCACCAAGUCUACGAUCAGUAGGGGUUCUGAGAGGAAGGUCCCCACAUUGGAACUGAGACACGGUCCAAACUCCUACGGGAGGCAGCAGUGAGGAAUAUUGGUCAAUGGACGAGAGUCUGAACCAGCCAAGUAGCGUGCAGGAUGACGGCCCUAUGGGUUGUAAACCUCUUUUGCCGGGGGAUAAAGACAGACACGUGUGUUUGUUUGAAGGUACCCGGAGAAUAAGCAUCGGCUAACUCCGUGCC
rnacentral:rRNA from 1 species